rnacentral:lncRNA from 1 species
UGAGUUAACAACCCAACCAAGUUACUUGACUCAACUUAUCCUCUAACACCAUAAACAAACUUUACAUUCUCAAGGCAAUCGACAUGUUUAACAGGAUUGAUCAUGUUUCUUUAUCAAUAAUGUUAUGUUACUUCACACCCUCCUAGUUUAGACACACAAUAGCUGCAGCAUGGAGAUUCAAGCUCCUUGGUAUCUUUCUAUUCUGCAUGAAACAAUGAUAUUUUGUUUUAUGUUAUAGUUAAUCUAUCAACAAGAAUACAUGG